rnacentral:rRNA from 1 species
UACGUAGGGUGCAAGCGUUGUCCGGAAUUAUUGGGCGUAAAGAGCUCGUAGGCGGUUUGUUGCGUCGGCUGUGAAAUCCCGAGGCUCAACCUCGGGUCUGCAGUCGAUACGAGCAAACUAGAGUGUUGCAGGGGAGACUGGAAUUCCUGGUGUAGCGGUGAAAUGCGCAGAUAUCAGGAGGAACACCGGUGGCGAAGGCGGGUCUCUGGGGCC